AAAUAUCUUAUAUAAGUUAAAACCGAACACGUUUAUUUACAUAGAGCAGAUGGACAUCUUUAGUCGGUACAUCAAAAUGCCGUAGUUUUCUAUACUCGGCUACACUUCAAAAGAUGACCGACAUCUCCUCCCACAAUCGUAUGCUUAAGGUCCAUCAACCAGUGUCGGCGUCCAAAGGUUCCCUCCUUUGCUAUCCUUCUCCUCGCGGUCAUAUCCAACCGCUCAAACCAUCUAUUAAUCUGAAAUGUUGGUCCCCAAAAGAGGUGAGUACAACCACUCAGCAGGUAAAGGAAUCCAAUAACAACUCAAUGCAUCAUGCAAAUCAUACAUGCAUUGCAGGCGUUACUUACCUUGAAGCCAUGCGCAUACUAUCAUGCAUCAUCAUAUCAAUUUAUAACACAUACAUGUGUAUCAUCAUCGUAUCAUACAUGUCAUCAUCAUCAUGACAUCAUUACAUUACACAUGUCAUAUCAUAUAUCAUUAUCAUAAUCAUCACCAUACAUAUCAUCAUGCAUAUCAUAUCAUGGGUGAUCAUCAUUAUUUCACAUCACAUAUCAUCAUCAUCAUCAUCAUCAUCAUCAUCAUCAUCAUGCAUAUCAUCAUGCAUAUCAUAUCAUGGGUGAUCAUCGUUAUUUCACAUCACAUAUCAUCAUCAUCAUCAUCAUCAUCAUCAUCAUCAUCAUCAUCAUCAUCAUCAUCAUCAUGCAUAUCAUCAUGCAUAUCAGAUCAUGGGUGAUCAUCAUUAAUUCACAUCAUAUAUCAUCUUCAUCAUCAUCAUGCAUAUCAUCAUGCAUAUCACAUCAUGGGUGAUCAUCAUUAAUUCACAUCAUAUAUCAUCUUCAUCAUCAUCAUGCAUAUCAUCAUGCAUAUCAUUAUCAUGAGUGAUCAUCAUUAUUUCACAUCACAUAUCAUCAUCAUCAUCAUCACCAUGCAUAUCAUCAUGCAUAUCAUGCCAUGGUUUAAUUUCCACUUUUAGCUUUCAAUUUGAUCACCACAUCACCCAUUCCUCAAAUCAUCAAUUUCAUCAUCCCCUCGGGCAAAGACCUUCGAGGCUUCCGGCAUUCAGCCUCCCAGGCCAUCGGGCAUCCGGCCCCCCACAUUCCGGGCAUCUCGCAUCUCAACUAGCAUCACGAGGCAUUCCCUUCGGGUAGAAACCUCCGACAGGGCUUCCGGCAUUUACACUCCCUGGCCGGGCAUCCCGCAUCCCAAUCCUGGCAUCGCGAGGCAUUCCUUUCGGGCAAAGACCUCCAACAAGGCUUCCGGAAUUAUGUACCGACAUACCACCAGGCCUCCCCUGGAAUUAUGUACCGUAUACCACCGGGCAUCCCGACACUCCCGGGGAAUCUCCGGAAUUACGCCACUAGGCCACCGAGCAUCAUCAUCCACCACAACCACUUCCUCACUUAUCAUUAUCCACAUUUACCAUUAUUUUGAUCUCAAUUUAACAUGGCAUAUGGCGUGACAUCAAACAAGUCAUACUUGGCACACACAUGCAUCACAAUUCAAUGUCAUACAUACACCAAUAUCUCAUCAUACAUGCAACAAUGCAUAAUUAUUUAUUUAUAAAUUCAAUGGAAUUUAUGGCCAAUAAAAUAAUCCAUUUUAUUUUAUUAUUUUUAUUUAUUUAUUUAUAAUAAAUAAAUAUUAAAUUCAAUAUCUAUAAAUUUCCAAAAUUAUAAAAAUUCAAGCAAUCAUUAAACAAACCAAUAGGAUGGAAAUUUCAUGCAAAAUUCAUGGCCACAUUGAAUUUCACACAAUUUCACAAUUUCCACAAAACAGCACAUAAUAUUCGGAUAAAACCAGAAUGCACGGUUUCCGAAGAAAUUCGAUUAAAAUAUCCAUACGGUCUCCAAAAAUUACGAAAUUUUAGAGGGUGAUAGCCAAGAAAUUUUCGCACAACUUUCAUGAAGAACUCCAAACCAUAUUAUUUUUAGAUUAUUUUAUACAACCUCACGAAGCUUCUGGAUACAUUACCGCAUCGUCCAGUGCACAUAUCACCGAAAUAUUGAGAUUUAAUCUACCUAUUAUCUUUCGUUUACUCUAAAAUUUGGAUAUGUUAUACAUCAAGAUGUCCUCUACAAGUUUCAUGAAGAGAUAUAAGUCAAAUAACCAGAUUAUAGUCAUCAUCUAUGUCCAUGAAGUCUCGGGUGUCUCGGAAUACAUCACCAGAAUCAUCUUCUUCAAGAUCUAGUCGAUUUACUAGGCUAUAUUUGUUCAUUUAACUUCAAAUUUGAGUAUGUUGUAGUUUAAGAUGUCUUAUACAACUUUCAUCAAGAAACCGAAGUGAGAUUCUCAACAUAAACCAACAUGCAACCACGAAUCCAGCAAGAGGUCAGUAAAAACUCUCCAGAUCUGAGGUCUCCGUAGAACAAGACUUUAACCCCUUAAAUCUCCAUAAUUGUUCACUAAAUUUCAGUAUGUUGUAUUUCAAGAUGUUAGCUACAACUCUCAUGAAGAAAUCGAAGCCAAAUUCGGACUAUAAACACACAUGCAAGCUCAAAGAAGUUUCUGACUCACACUGUCCGAACACAAACAGCCACACCAUUCACACACAACUCAUCCAUGCUUCGGUUUUUCUCAUCUAACACUCAAAGAUUCAACAUGCAAACGACAUACAAGCAUGCAAGAGAAGCUAGAGGACUCCCACUUGCCUCUAGACCACACGAACGGCGGCAAACCGGUGACGAACACGGCGGACGGACGGCGACGGGCGAGCUCCUCCUCUCUCGGCUUCCUCUUCUCUCUCGCAACUCACUCUCUCUCAGUUCUGCUCGGUCACUCUCUUUAGUUCACUUACACGAGCAGAUUAGCUGCUGGUUUUGCUAAAAACCAGCCAACAAAGAGGGGGAUUUUCGGUGGAUGCAUGCAUGGAGGACAGGUGUAGG
rnacentral:lncRNA from 1 species